UUUUUGAUUAAUAAUUUAAAGUCUAAUCUGCCCACUGAUAAUAUAUUAAAGGGCUGCAGUAUUUUGACUGUACAAAGGUAGCAUAAUCAAUAGUCUCUUAAUUGGUGACUUGUAUGAAAGAUUUAAUGAGAUAUAUACUGUCUCUUUUUAAUUUAUAAAAUUUAAUUUUUUAGUUAAAAAGCUAAAAUGUAUUUAAAAGACGAGAAGACCCUAUAGAGUUUAAUAUUUAAUUAAAUUAAAAUUAUUUAUAAAAUUUAAAAUUUUAAUUUAUAAUAAAUAUUUUGUUGGGGUGAUAAAAAAAUUAAAAGAACUUUUUUAUAGAUUUACAUUAAUAAAUGAAUAAAUGAUCCGUAAUUUACGAUUAAAAGAAAAAAUUACCUUAGGGAUAACAGCGUAAUUUUUUUUUUUAGUUCAAAUAAGAAAAAAAGUUUGCGACCUCGAUGUUGGAUUAAGAUAAAAUUUAAAUGCAAAAGUUUAAAAUUUUUGAUCUGUUCGAUCAUUAAAAUCUUACA
rnacentral:rRNA from 1 species